rnacentral:rRNA from 1 species
AUUGAACGCUGGCGGCAUGCUUUACACAUGCAAGUCGAACGGUAACAGGCCGCAAGGUGCUGACGAGUGGCGAACGGGUGAGUAAUGCAUCGGAACGUGCCCAGUCGUGGGGGAUAACGCAGCGAAAGCUGUGCUAAUACCGCAUACGAUCUAUGGAUGAAAGCGGGGGACCGUAAGGCCUCGCGCGAUUGGAGCGGCCGAUGUCAGAUUAGGUAGUUGGUGGGGUAAAGGCUCACCAAGCCAACGAUCUGGAGCUGGUCUGAGAGGACGACCAGCGACACUGGGACGGAGACACGGCCCAGACUCCUACGGGAGGCAGCAGUGGGGAAUUUUGGACAAUGGGCGCAAGCCUGAUCCAGCAAUGCCGCGUGCAGGAAGAAGGCCUUCGGGUUGUAAACUGCUUUUGUACGGAACGAAAAGGUCUGGGUUAAUACCCUGGGCUGAUGACGGUACCGUAAGAAUAAGCACCGGCUAACUACGUGCCAGCCGCCGCGGUAACAC